UACAGAGGGGGCAAGCGUUAUUCGGAAUUAUUGGGCGUAAAGGGCGCGUAGGCGGCCUGGCAAGUGGAAGGUGAAAUCCCUCGGCUUAACCGAGGAACUGCCUCCCAAACUGCUUGGCUUGAGUUCGGGAGAGGGAAGCGGAAUUCCGGGUGUAGCGGUGAAAUGCGUAGAUAUCCGGAGGAACACCGGUGGCGAAGGCGGCUUCCUGGACCGACACUGACGCUGAGGCGCGAAAGCUAGGGGAGCAAACGGG
rnacentral:rRNA from 1 species